UAUUGGGCAAUGGACGCAAGUCUGACCCAGCGACGCCGCGUGCGGGAUGAAGGCCUUCGGGUUGUAAACCGCUUUCAGCAGGGAAGAAGCGAAAGUGACGGUACCUGCAAAAGAAGCACCGGCUAACUAUGUGCCAGCAGCCGCGGUAAUACAUAGGGUGCAAGCGUUGUCCGCAAUUAUUGGGCGUAAAGAGCUCGUAGGUGGUUCGUCACGUCGGAUGUGAAAAUCUGGGGCUCAACCCCAGACCUGCAUUCGAUACGAGCGAGCUAGAGUUUGGUAGGGGAGACUGGAAUUCCUGGUGUAGCGGUGGAAUGCGCAGAUAUCAGGAGGAACACCAAUGGCGAAGGCAGGUCUCUGGGCCAAUACUGACACUGAGAGCAGU
rnacentral:rRNA from 1 species